GCUCUCUUUGGCAGCACAUAUACUAAAAUUGGAACGAUAUAGAGAAAAUUAGCAUGGCCCCUGUGAAAGGAUAACAUGCAAAUUUGUGAAGCGUUCCCUGUUUUU
ensembl:snRNA U6 U6 spliceosomal RNA